rnacentral:tRNA from 1 species
GAGAUAGCACAGUUGGUGAGAGCAUGGUGCUGAUAACACCAAGGUUGCAGGUUCAAUCCCCAUAUGGGACA